UAUAUAGAGUCCGGCUACUAUGCUAUCGGUAGCACGGAGCGCUCCGUGCUACCAAGUUGUUUUCGAUGAUGCGGCUUCCAAAUUGACGAUCGGUUCCGUUAGACUUGAUCUACACUAUUGAAAAUAUUGAGGAACUAAUUUUCAAGAUUUUUUCGCAAUCAUGUUGACUAGUGAUCAAAAGAUCUCCAAGAAUGCAUUUUAUAUGGACGAUGUUGGUGUGGUUUGUUGAGUUUGAUACGGUGUAAAACAAUCCAAAUGCGAUGAAAAUUGUAUAGAAAAUUCUAGUUCAGCUAUUUAGAUAGAUCAGAUAUAUUCUGUCUUGAAUUUAUAAUCUUUUAUCUCAUUUUUUAUCGAGAAUUUAUUUUCAGCGUUCAAUUUAGACUAAUUGUUUGAUAGGUAAAUGAUAUCGAAAAAUAUUAAAAUUUUAUUCUCUAAAUACUUUCAAUAGUGUAGAAUCAACUCUAAAGGAGCGCAUCGUCGAUUUGGAAGCCAAUCAUCUGAAAACAAGCUUGAUAGGCCGGCGAGGCUCCGUGCUAGCGAUGGUGAUAGUAGCCUAUGCUCUAUAUAUAUUAUAUUAUAUAUUAUAUAUAUUUAUAGGUCAGAUAUAGUGGCAUGUAAAAGCACAAAGCACUUUGUCUGUAUGUUUACUGUUAGAUCUGACUCUUCGGUAUUUUCAAUUUCAUAUUAGGAUAUAUACUUAUUUCAUACCAAACCACCACUAAACCCGUAGGGGCCAUAUCAUUCUAAACGAAUACCUCUUAUCUAAUGGCUAAAAUCUACAGACCAAUACUUGGUACUUUUAAAGUAAGGAGCUCGAUUCAUAUAUAAAUAUAAUAUAUAUAUAUAUAUAAUAUAUAUAUAUAGAGAGAUGAGAGAGACUUGAGAUGAGAGAGAGGAGAGACGAGAGAGACGAGAUCUAGCUCAUCACGAGAGUCUGAGAUGGAUGCGAUCUUGAGAGAGGAGAUGAUGAGAGAGGGAAGGAGAGGAGAGUGUGUGUGUGUGUGUCGUGUGUGUGUGUCUAGGUAUGGCUUAUGGAGAGCCGACGCGCUUCGUGUAUACACUUUGUUUCAUGUUCUUGACUUUCGAUCGACGAUCUGCUCUGUUUAGAUUGGAUCUUAGAAUUUUUGAAGUAUCUAGAAAAUUAAUUUUGCCGAUUUUUUUGAUAUCAUUUGCCUAGUGAUCUACCGGCCAAAGUCAACUGCUGAAAGUAAAAUCUUACAAAAUAUGUGAUAUGACAUUAAAUUUUAGAUCAAAGUUAUGAUCUUGUUUAUUAUGGUAUAAAAAUUUUCUAUCACAAACUUCACUUGCCAUUGGAUAUUUCUACAAUCGUUAACUUGCAAUGCGCGCUGCCAACGGCCAGUUAAAUUACUUGGAUGUUUGAGCCCCUUUGAUCACUAGCGCAAAUGGAUAUCGAAAAUCACAAAAUUUAUUUUUUAGGACGUUCACAUAUUGGAUCAACUCUAACGAGCAACUCGGGUGCGGGAUUCGAAAGUCGACAUCGAACAAAGUGGAAGCACGGAGCGAGCUAUCCUGUGCUGUGGCCAAUAAGCAUAACAGCUACUAGGGUAGUAUAGUAUUAGGUCUAGUAUAUUUUAUAUAGGUGUGAGCAUGGGUAGUAUAUAGUGUAGGGUGGUAGGUAUUAGGUAUUAUAUGGAGGUGUAUUGAUAGUCUGGCGCUACAUUUACUCUUGAUGAGUACGGAGGUUGCCUUCGUAUAUAAGUUGUUUUGAUAUAGGUUUUCGAAUCGACGGAUCGGGCAUACGGUCAAAUACGUAGUGCGAGAGCAUUUGAAAAUUUUAGGGGAAAUCAAAUUUCAUAAUGUUGUCGACAUGGUAGUUUAGCUUGACGAGUGCAAACGAGUCACAAAAUUGAAAUUUUUAACGGCCGUAUGGGAUUACUUGCUAGUUUAACGGGCGUGUAAGAUCAGAAUUCGGUGAAUUUUUAAUAAAAAUAUUCAUACCUAGCUAAAGGAUCAAUAACACAAAUUUUAAAUUGAAGGAUAUAUCAUCCUUUUUAGGACCGGUCGUUCUGAUUUCGACCGUUCAUUUUAUACCCGCUUGAUGGAUUUUAUUAUGAUUUCGAAAAAUUACAAAAUUUAUAUUUUAGAAGUUUCGAAUACUCUGGAUCAUAUUUAAUGGAGUAGAUCGUUGAUUCGGAAGUCCCAUCAUCGAAAAUAAUUUAUGAGUACGAAGGGCCAAAUACUCAUAAGAGUAUAGUAGCCCUAAUAUAUAUAUAUAUAUAUAUAUAUAGAAUUAGUCUGGAAUACUAUUAAUAGUAAAACGCUCUUUUUGCUAUCAAAUUUUUAACCCUUAGAUGAAAAAUUGUAGGGUCAGGAUGAUAUUAGUCGGUUAGAGUUGAGUGGUCCCCUAGGGUUGAGUGGUCCCUAUUGGAUUAUAGUAUUUAAUCCAAUGGUUAGAAAUAAUAAAAAGAGUUGAUUCAAAGGCUAAAAAACUGGUAGCAACAAUGGGAUUUUGCUACUAAUAAUAGCCUAGUCCAACUCUAUAUAUAUAUAUAUAUAUAGCGAGAGAGAGAGAGAGAGAGAGAGAGAGAGAGAGAGAAAUCCGGAGUUGAGCUAGAAUGCUAUCGGUAGUAAAUAAGCUCCGUUGUCACUUAUUUGAUUUCGAUGAUGGAGCUUCUAUAUCGAUCAUCAACACCGUUGAAUAUGAUCUAUACCAUAUGAAAUAUCUAGAAACCAAUUUUCAAAAGUUUCUAGCAUCAUUGACCGAAUGAUCAAAGGAUUUCAAAAUUUGUACUUUUAAUGGUCGAUAUAAAACGUUUUCUCGUUUAACGGUGUAAAGAUAUCCAAAUCAAUUGAAUAUAGUCUAUUUUGUACUCAUAAGAUUUUGGCUGGUAGAUCUACUCUUUAAUCAUUUCUACCCAUUAGAUCAUACUAUUCAACCAGCCACUCACUUAAGCCUAGAGGACAACUAUCAUUCUAAUCAGGGACCACUAUUAAUAGUAUUUGAACUAUUUUGCUAUCGAAUUCUUAACCCUUAGAUGAAAAAUUAUAAGGUUAGGAUAAUAGUUGCCCCCUAAGGUUUAGUGGUAGGCCCCUUAGGAUUGAGUGAUUGGUUGAAUAGUAUGAUUAUGAGUGAAAUAAUUUUAAUAGUAUAAAAAUAGAAUUUACAUUUAAUUUUUUUUGACUUUCCGAUGUAUAGGGAUUAGUGCGGAUUUGUAGAAUAGUAAUAAAGCAAGGGUGUGUGUCUAUAUAUGUAGUUGGAAUAUUUUUAAUAGUAUGGAAAUAAUACUUGUUUUCAACUUUUGAUCAUUCAAUGUCUAUGGAUUGUGCGGAUUGGUGGAAUAGUAAUAAACCAACUGCAAGGACGAAAAUGUUGAUAGUAAAUACUAUUUAUAUACUAUUAAUUAAUAGUAUAAUAAAUACACUAUAUAUAGAGCGAGAGAGUUGAUCAGCUGAAAUAAUAUUAAUAGUAUUUUGACUUUUUUGCUAUUAAUUUUUUAGCCCUUAUAUCACACUUUAAUUAAUUUUACCUUUUAAAUCAUACUAUUUAACUAACCACCCACUCAAUUCUAGAGGAACCAUCACUAAAUCCUAGAGCACAACUGUCAUCCUAAUUCUACAAUUUUCUAUCUAACGGUUAAAAACUUGAUAGCAAAAAUGCCUAAGUAUUAUUAACAAUAUUUCAGCCCAAUUUUAUAUAUAUAUAUAUAUAUUCCGGCUACUAUACUCUUAUGAGUAUAGACCUCUUUAUACUCAUAAGUUUUUAGCCGUUAGAUCUAUUCGUUUGAUCAUUUCUACCAGUUAGAUCAUACUAUUCAAUCAACCACCCACUCAACCCUAGAGGUCUACUAUUAAAUUAACCGAAAAACACUAUCAUCCUAACCGUACAUCUUUUAAUCCAACGGUCGAAAACUUAUGAGUACAAAAUCUAGAGUAUUUGAAGUACAUCUUUUAACCGAAAAACACUAUCAUCCUAACCGUACAUCUAGAGUAUUUGAAGUACCUAGAAAAUAAAUUUUAUGAUUUUACGAUAUCAUUUGCCUAGUGAACGAAGGGGCUCAAAAUCAACGGUUGAAAAUAAAAAUCUUACAAAAUGUAAUAAUAUGACAUUAAAGUUUUAAAUCAAAGAUAUUGAUCUUGUUUUAUAUAGUAUAAAGAAUUUUCUAUCAAAAUUUCAUGUGAUUUGGAUAUUUCUACACCAUUAAACUUGCAACCGGCUCACCACGGCCAUUAAAAUUAUUGAUUUUGAGGCCCUUCGAUCACUAGGCAAAUGAUAUCGAAAAAUCACAAAAUUUUUUUUCUAGAUACUUCAAAUACUCUAGAUCAACUUUAACAGAGCCGAUCGUCGAUUCGAAAGUCUGAACAUCGAAAACAACUUGGAAGCACGGAAGGCUCCGUGCUUCUUGGUACUAUUAAGUUUUCUACCGUUAGAUCUACCCAUUGAUCAUUUCCACCCGUUAGAUUAUACUAUUAAACCAACUACCCACUCAACCCUAGGGGACCACUAUCAUCCUAACCACACAUCUAUUCAUCCAACGGCCGAAAACUCAAUAAUAUCAAGAGCUUGGUACUAUUAAGAGUAUAGUAUAGUGUAUAUAUAUAUAUAUAUAUAUAUAUAUAUAUAAUCCACCUAUAAUAUUGUUACUAAGACAUUUAAUGUCUACUGUUAACUUUUUAUCCUUAAAUCUAUAAUAUAUCACUCCAUGCCCUACAUUAUAUAUGUAUAUCCUAUGAAUAAUAGUGAGCUUGUAAUACUAUUGAUAAUGUGGGACUAGUGUUUAAUUACUACCAACUUUUUUGAAUAUUGAAUUUCUAGCGCUUAGUGAGGAUUGACAGAAUAAUAAUAUUUUAAGGACGUGUUUGAUUCGCUUCUUUUUUACCUUGAAAUUGGAAUGGGAAUGAGUGAAUCCGUUUGUAAGUGUUUGGUACGUGGGAGUUCCAUUCCGAUUCCGAUUCCCCAGUGGAAUGGGAAUCGCUCAAUCACCCCUUUUUUCAAUCCGGCCUAGAAGGCCGGAUUGAAAGUUGAAUCCUGACGGAAUGGAUAUUUAUUCGGAUUAAAUUUAUUUUUUUAAUUUUUUUAAUUAAAAUAUGAGUUAAAAUUUAAAAAUUAAAUAUAUAAUUUUAAAAUUUAAUUUGAACUUAAAUUAAAAAUUAAAAUUUAAUCAAGUAUUUCGAAUCUAACUUAUGAAUUUGAAUUUAAAUUAAAUUUUAAUUUAUAUAAAGUUCAUUCAAAUUUUAUUUCAAACUUAAAUUAAAUUUAUGAAUUCAAAUUAAAAUUAUAAUUAUAAUUUUAAGUUUGAAUUUGAAUAAAUCAAAAUUUAGUUUCGUAUUUUGAAUUAUCCACUCAACUUCAAAAUUUAUUUAUUUUUUUAAAAAAAUAGAUUUAAAAUUUUGACAUUAUUUCAAAAUUUUGAUGUAAAUUUUUAAUAUUUAAUAUUUAAUUUGAAUUUAAAUUAAUAUAUUAUAAAAAUAAUGUUAGUAUAUUAAUUUGAUUAUGUUUUUAUAUCCAUCUGAACCAAACACCGACAAUGAGAAUAAUUUAUUCCGAUUUCGAUUCAGGUGAUAAACCAAACAAAAUUAGGUAAUGAGACAAAAUUAGGUAAUGAGUCAUUCCGAUUCCGUUUCUAGCUUAUUUUGAUUCCGAUUCCGAUUCCGACUCCGACUAAGAGUUAAAAAGUAAAUAAUAUAUAAUUUUCAAUAUACUAUUAAUAAUAUACUAGCUCAAAUUCUAUUAAUAGUAUUCUAUUUGUACUACACGUGUCCUAGUUGUUCUAUAUAUAGUCCAGUAUACUUGUUGCAAGGCUAGCUAGUGAUUACACCAUAAAAAAUUAUAUUUUAGGCAACACUUUUUAAAUAACGCUCUAUUCUAACAUCUUUAAUAUUUGGCAUAUGCCAAAUAAGCAUUGCUAAUAAAUAUAUUUUUAUCAAAUGCUGAUAAAUUUUGUUUGAUGCUAUAUUAAUUAAAGCGCCGGUAUAUUUAUCCCAGUAUGUUAACUUAAAGAAUCUUUGCUCGACGCUUUUAUAAGUAUCGAAAUUAUUCUUACCGAUGUUUUAAAGCGUCGUUAGUUAUUAUUUAAAAUAUCUAUAAAUGUAAGAUUUUUUAUAAUGUUAAUAAUGCCCAAACAAUAUUAAAACCCUAAAACGCAAUACGUACUAUAGGAAUAAUCAGUUAUCUGUUGGCUAAAUCCAAAUCAAUAAAAUUUAUGUGAAGCUCUAGAUAGUCCUAUAUAUAAGAUAUAUUAGGGCUAAAAUUCUUAACCCAGCUAUGCUAUUUUUGGCGAUGGCUAGACCCUAAAUAUUAAGAGAGUUAAGCAUGCUAUGAUUAGAGUAGUGCUAAGAUGGUAACCCCCUUAGAAAGUGGAGCGUCACAAUUUAUCUUUAUAAAUAAUUAUUAAAACUUUUAUUUUAGGGUUAAUUUUAUAUAGGUUCUUAUAAACAUAUCGAAUAACAAAUAUAUCCCUAUAAAGUUCAACUUUCCAUAUUUAUCUCUCUGGUUUCUGAUUUGUUACUGUCGGAGCACUGUUUAUUUUUUAAUUGAAGAUAUGUGCAAUGACAUUUUUGUCAUCAUAAAUUAAUAUAUCCCUCCAAAAAUUCUAACUAUUAGGAUUAUACAGUAAUAUCCUUUUAAAAAUUUUCAUUUCCAAUGGUCAUCUUUCUAUCUUUCUACCAUCACAAAUAAUAUAAUAAGAAUGAAAAGAUCAAUUUAUCUCAUUAAUUAUAAGGAUUAAGUAUUUUACCUAUAAUUAACUAUACUUUUUUAACAGAUCCUAACAGCAAGAGUACAUGUGAAAAUAUUAAGAUUUUUGUAGAAAUAAAUAUAAAAAAUUAAAUUUUAUCGAAAUAUAUUUUUUAUUCAAUAUAUUUACAGAGAGCUGUUUGAAAUUAACUCUAACUCUAUAUUUUUUUCAGAGAAAAAAAAAAAGAAAAAAAGAAUUGCAUGUGAUUGGGGCUUACAAUUUUGGCCAAAGCUACGCAGGCUUUUUCACUUUUCUACGACCCACCACCAUCUCAUUGUCAAUCUAAAAACAAUACCCAAUUACUCCCCCACUGUAGCCACUGGGAGCCCCACUUUACUGCAUGCUUUCACUUUAAUUAUCCCAUACAUUCCUGUUUCCUGUACAUGAGAUUUUCGGUGAAUGAUAGAUGGUGAGAUUAUUGCCUGCGCCUUGUGCAUGCAUGCAUGAUUUAUAUAUAGAUACACCACCUACAAUACACGCAUUUUUUUCAUAAAUUAUAUCCACAUUUCAAAAUUACAGGUUUCCAAUUAAGACCUAUUUUGUAUGCAUUAAUAUGUAUAUUUUUUAGAGAUUAACAUUCUUUGAUUCAUGAAGGUGGAUACAGAUCAGAUACCUAUAUAUAUAUCUUAUAUACUAUUAAUAUAUAUAAGGAGAGGAGAGAGAGAGAGAGAGACGAUGAGAAGAGAGAGAGUCCGGCUACUACUAGAGCAGAGAGGAGAGAGAGGAGUCCGGCCACUAUACUAUUAGAUGAGUCACGAUUCGCAACUCGUACUCAAAGUUAUUUUCGAUGAUAGAGCUUCCUGAAUUCGACGAUCCACACCGUUCAACGUUAUUUACAGCAUUUAAAAUUCUAAAAAUCAAAUUUAUAAUUUUUUGACUUAUUUACCUUACGAUCAAGAGGUCACAAAUUGAUAAUUUUAACGGCCGGUAUGGAUACUUGCUAGUUUAACGGUGUAAAAAAUUGAAAUUUGUUGAAUUUUUGAUUAGAAAUUCUAUUCACUACAUAGAUAAAGAUCAAUAACUCCGAUCUUGAAUUGAAAGGAUCGAUAUCCUUUUCUAGGAUGUCGUUCUGAUUUUGACCAUUCAUUUAUGCCACUUGAGGACUUUAUUAUGAUUUCGAAAAUUUACGAAUAUUAUUUUCUAAAAUUCAAGUACUCUAGAUCAUAUUUAAGCAGAGUGGAUCGUCAAUUCGGAAGCUCCAUCAUUGAAAACAACUUAUGAGUACGAUGACCUAUAUACUCAUAAAAUAUAGUAGCCACCUCCUAUAUAUAUAUAUUAUAUAUAUAUAUUAUAUACUUAUAUAUAUAUAUAUAGAGUUGGACUGCGCUACUAUUAGUAGCAAAAUCUCAUUGUUUAUCAAUUCUUUUAUUAUUUCUAACCAUUGGAUUAAAUACUAUAACAGUGGGGACCGACUCCAAUCCUAGGCGAACCAUUCACUUCUAACCGACUAAUAUCAUCCUGGACUCCAAUAAUUUUUUCAUGCCAAGGUUAAAAGUUUAAUAGCAAAAAGAGCGUUUUUACUAUUUAAUAGUAUCCAAGCCUAAUAUAUAUAUAAUAUAUAUAUAAUAUAUAUUAUAAUAUAUAUAUAUAUAUUAUAUAUAUAUAUAUAUGCUUUUCUCAUAAAAAAUCCACUUAUUUUGGGCUUUUGCAAAAUGGGUCACCUUUUUCGUUUUUACAGAUUCGUCCGCUUUUUCAGCAAACUGACCAAAAUACCCUUAUUACUUUUCUCUAUCCUCUUUCUCUCUCCUCCUUCGUUUUCUUUGUCGUUCUUUUUUUUUUCUCCGCCCGAAAAAAAAAGGCGGGACCGGUGGCGCCUUCUGCUUCACCGUCCUCCCUCUUCACCAUCCUUCUUCACGUCGGCCCUGCUCCUCACCCUCCUCUUCCACCGCCGCGACCCCUCCUCCCUACUCGCCGCGGAUAUUCCCAACCGAUCCCCGUCGCGCGGCUUGGCAAGCGGCCGCGCGAACGGUGGGUCGGGCUGGAUGCGGAGAAGAAGAUACACGGCGAAGAAGUAAAGAGGGAGCGGCAAGCGGCAGGGCGCAGGAGGGGAGGCGAAAGCGCAACCUGGCGCCGCACAAGCGCCGCGCGUGUUCUUCUCAUCGAUGCGCUACCCGCUCUUCCGCCGGCCGCGGCAGAAGCCGCGCGACACAGCCGCCUUCUGCUAUCCACGCACUGACGUCGCAGACGCCGCGUAGCUGCGCGACCCCAGCCGAUCCCGUCCCGCCCAGCGGCCGCGUUGCGACGUGGGGUCGGAUCUGUUUCUAUUUUAAAACUGCACAUCUUAACAGAUAUAUACUGCUUCUCCUUGUUGCACUGUUUCUCCUCUUGUUGCAUGUUUCUCCUGGUUUAAAGAGGAAGAAACAGUGCAACAAGAGGAGAACAGUGCACAAGAGGAGAAGCAGUAUAAAUAUCUCUUAAAUAGGUAACAGUUUAAGAUAAAUGGGUGCGUUUUUUUUCUUAUUGCACUAUUUUUUCUCUUGUAUACACUAUUUUUUAUUUUAAAACUACACAUCUUAAAGAAUAUUUAUACUGUGUUCGCUCUUGUUGCCCACUGUUUUCUCCUCUUGUUGCGCACCUAUUUCUCCUCCAUUAAGAGAAUAAUUAUACUUCUCCUCUUGUUGUCACGUUUUUCUCUUGUUGCACUUUUUCUCUCUUUAAAAGAUGAGAAACAGUUGCACAAGAGAAAAAACAGAUGCAACAGAGGAGAAGCAGUAAUAAAUAUCUCUUAAUGAGUGCAGUUUAAGAUAAUAUGUGGCUGCAGUUUUUUCUUCUGUGUUGCAUAAUUUCUCUCUUUAAUUACACUAUUUUUUAUUUAAACUGACAAUCUUUAACAGUUUUUAUAGCUGUUUCUCCUCUUGUUGCACUGUUUCUCCCUCUGCUGCACUGUCUUCUCCUCUUUAAAGAGGAAAAAACAGUGAACAAGAGGAGAAGCAGUAUAAAUAUCUUUAAAUGAUGCAGUUUAAGAUAAAUCGGGGCAGUUUUUUUUCUUGUUGGCACCAUUCUCCUCUUAUUACACAUGUUCUUUAUUAUUUUAAAACUACACAUUCUUUAACAUGAUUGUUAUAUGCUUCUCCUCUGUGUGCACUGUUUCUCUCCUUGAGGAGAAAACAGUGCAACAAGAAGGAAGAAGCAGUUAUAUAAUAUCUCUUAUAAUGGUGUGCCAGUUUAAAUAAAAACUAUGUACGAACAGAGGAGAAAUGAUGCAAACAAGCAGAGAAACGGUGCAACAAAGAGGAGAAACAGUGCAACUUUCAUUUAAAUGAGUGUAAUUUUUAGUUUUAGUGGGUGGCUAGUUUAUAUCUGAAAUGUGCAAUAAGAAGAGAACAGGUGUAAAUAUGCUUUCAAAGAGUGUAAUUUUUAAUUAAAAAAGUGUAUUUUUAUUUUAAAGCCUACAAGUUUACAUCUUAAGUGAUCAACUUUAAUCUUUUUUUUGUAGUUAACGAUACAAUUUCAUAUUACAUCCUUUUUUAUAUAAAUUUUUCAUCUUUAUUUUUUUUCUGUUUUUUUUUUUGGCACCUCCUGUCAAUAACCACGCGGCAUUCUGUCGGUACGACGCCGCUAAAUGACCCCCACUCCGAAGGCUGGAGCAGCGCCGCAAGUGAUCUCCACCGGUUCGCGUGCGUGUCGCGAAGAGCUAAUCGCGUCCGGGUCGUCGCAGCCAGAGAAGGAGGGAGAAGGAGAGACUGGAGAGGCAGGGAAGAGCGACGAGAGCGCGUCGUCGGAAACUUGGAGGAGAGUCAGAGUAAGAAAGAGAAAGAAAAUAUGAAAUAAAAAUAAAAGUCAUAGCCGGCCUUAGGGGAUCGGAUCAGGAAGGUGGAGGCGCCGCGUCACGCCGCUCUGAUCUUCGCCGCUCUCUGGAAAGGAGUUAAAUAUAAAGAACGAGAGAAAGAGAAAAGAAAAGAUAUAAGCGGACCUCCGCUCCGUCUUCGCCGCUCUCAGCGAAGAAAAAGAAAAAAGAACGAGAGAAAAAGAGGAAGAGAGAAAGCAGGAAAAGUAGAGAAGGUAAGAGGUAUUAUUGGUGUCUGAAAAGCGCGGACGAAUCCGCAAAAGCCAAAAGAGAUGGCCCGAUUUUGCAAAAGUCAAAAUAAGUGAAUUUUUUAUGCAAAUUGGCCUAUUAUAUAUAGUAUAUAUAUAUAUAUAUAUAUAUAUAUAUAUAAAAGGGAGGACAUGGAGUGCAGCAACAAGAUGAUGAUGAUACUAUUAUUCAUUACCUAUGGAAUCCGUCAGAACCGUCGACACCGAGCGAGCAGCAAAAUUGGUCCAUGAGCAAUGCUUUCUGAUAUAUUCUCGUCGCAUUCGACAAAAGUUGUGUCCUAUACUAGCAUAAUCAGCGUAAUACACUCGCCAAAUUGACCUGUAUUGCAUAUAUAUAUAUAUAUAUAUAUAUAUAUAUAUAUAUAUAUAUAUAUGAGUUGGACUGGGCUACUAUUAGUAGCAAAAUUCCAUUAUUGCUACCAGUUUUUUAGCCUUUAGAUCAACUCUUUUUAUUAUUUCUAACCAUUGGAUUAAAUACUAUAACCCAGUAGGGACCACUCAACCCUAGGGGGACCACUCAACUCUAACCGACUAAUAUCAUUCUGACCCUACAAUUUUUCAUCCAAGGGUUAAAAAUUUGAUAGCAAAAAGAGCAUUUUACUAUUAAUAGUAUUCCAGCAUGAUUCUAUAUAUAUAUAUAUAUAUAUAUAUAUCUGUAGUUUCCGAAUCAGCGAUUACGCCUUGUUGCAUGCGGACUGAUUUGGCGAGCCAAUUCGGCGAGAAUAGCACUGCUCUUUAUAAUAUAAAAACUUCAAGAGUGAGGCUGGUAUGCUUCUGCAAGUACGGAGUGUUUCGUGUUUUCAAGUCGUUUUCGAUAUUGGGACUUUUGAAUCGACAAUCAGCUCCGUUAGAUUUGAUUUAGAACAUUUUAAGUAUUUAGAAAAUAAAUUUUGCGAUUUUUUGAUAUCAUUUGUCUAGUGAUCGAAGUGGCUCAAAAUUAAUGGUUAAGAAUAAAAAUCUUACAAAAUAUGAUGAUAUGAUAUUAAAAUUUUAGAUCAAAAAUAUUGAUAUUAUUUUAUAUAAUAUAAAAAAUUUUCUAUCAAAAUUUUACGUGAUUUGGAUAUUUCUACACCGUUAGACUUGCAAACGGUUCACCACGGCUAUUAAAAUUAUUGAUUUUGAACCCCUUCGAUCACUAGGCAAAUGAUAUCGAAAAAUCACAAAAUUUAUUUUUUAGAUACUUAAAAUACUUUAGAUCAAGUCUAAUGGAGCCGAUCGUCGAUUUGAAAAUUCCAAUAUCGAAAAUGACUUGAAAAUACGGAAGGCUCCUUACUUCCAAAAACAUGCUAGCCUCACUCAAACUUUUAUGCUUAUACACAUAUUUUUAAUAAAUUAUGAAAAAAUAAUAAUAAUUUGUAAUAUAAUGUCAAAAAAAAAAAAAAAAAAAAAAACAUUACGGAAGAGCUGCAGUUAUAGUGCUUGUGAAAGCGCUGGUGACAAGGUGAACAAUUGAGUUGGUGGUGUGUGCCAUCAAUAGAUGAGUGGUGAAUACAAUUUGGGUGGGGCCCAUCCGAGUCAGCACGGAUGGACGUAUCAGGCACGAGGGUACAUUUCCCACGUGACGCCCACUUGCAUCCAUUUACUGCGAGCUGUUUCGUGGACCUGGUCUACCACAUCCUCUCAGAAGUAUUCUACAAAGACCUCGUGCACCGGAACCACUCGUACCAAAUACAAAAAUGCUAUAUGCCUCCCCAGUCACAUAGAAUAAGAAAAAAUUUAUCGUACAGAUCCUUUCAAAUAAAUACAGUAAAUAUUAAAUUUAUUUUUAUAAAUUUUAAUUUUUAUAAAUUAUUUCUAUAAAAAGUACUGAUAUUUUUAAAUAUAUUUCUGUCAUUAGAAUCCGUUAAAAAAAUUUAAUUGACCAUAGGUCAAAAACUUAACCCAUAUUAGUUUUUGACAUCUUUAUCCCUCUUAAAGUAUAAUUUGGUAUUGGCAUAAUUUGGUAUUGAGCUCUAUCUAAUACUAUUAGAUAAAAUGGAGUUGAGAAAAAAACAUAUAGGAAUAUGCUUCUGCGUUUUCCGAUGGGGCCGCAGAAAAUAUAUUGUAACCGACUCAACGCGAUAUGCGAAACACAAUCUCUCCGCAAUCCCAAAAAAAGCCUAAAUUAUACCGUUAUAAUUUUUGAAAGAAUAUAUUUAUGAUGACAAAAUUAAAAAUAUAAACGGUUAUCUAACGGUAAUAAAUCAAAAGAAUUUAUUUAAAAAUAUUAAAAUUUUUAUAGCGAUGUAUUUAUUAUUUACUAUAUUUAUAAAAAUAUGUACGAAAUUAGUCCUAAAAUAUAAUAUAAAAUUUAUGCAAUUUAAUCUCAUCGACAUAAUUUUUUACCGCAGUUCCUUAAAUUGCACAGCGCAUCAAGUAGUGCAAAUUUUUACGUAUUGUUAGUUUAAUAAAAAUAUAUUACAUCCGGUAUAUAUAACCUCGUGUGCAAAAAUUCUUACACACUGACAAGAAUUGAUCUCGCCGACCAUAAAAAUUUUAAUAAUUUAAAAACCCAAGUUGAACCGGCCGGUUUGACUGAUCCGACUGUGAUCCAGUGUAUAAAACAAUUUGUUUUAAUUUUUUGAUUCAGGUAAGAUUAAAAAUCGCUUUGAACCGUCUGAACUGGUGGUUCAACUAUUGAAUCGAUGAACUGGUUCGAUUUUUAAUCAAAUUGACAGAAUUGUUUCACUCAAGUCGUAUUAAAAUUAACGGCUGAAAAUCAACUUAACUGAUUUUAUUUUUUAUUCACAUGGAUUAGUGUUAUUAAAUAUGAAAGUGAAAUUUUUAUUUACUUAAUUUGAUAUAGAAAUUUGCAUUUUAUGGUUAAGUAUGAUACUAAAAUUAUAAUAUAUAUUUAUAUAAUAAAAUAAAAAAUAAUAAUUAAAUAUUUAUGAUGUCAAAUUUAUGUUAUUGGUUAACAUAUUCAUAUUACUAUUUGAUUUGAUUUUUAAAUUAUUAUAAAAUUCGUUUCGAUGUUAAAGCACACGGGAUUGGAGAACUCGUGCCUCCACUUUGAUUAGACUAUUCACCUUGCCAUUAUCUAAUGUUUGAUAAAAAAUUCUUUAAACUAUCCAAUAUCAAAAUGAAUACUUUUUAUUUUUGAAUUUUAGGGGCUUCUACAUUUUUGACUGUCCAUUUUGCAGCUACUUGAUGAACUAAAAAAUAAUUUUAAAACUUUAUGAAACUUGAUUUUUUAUAAGAUUCAAAUACUUUAGAUUUGAUUUAAUUUGAACGGUAUGGAUCAUCAAUUCAUAUGUUCUAUCAUUAAAAAUAAUAUAAUAGUGCCAAAACCUGAAUGCUCUUCUGAUCUGUUGAGUUUACUUAUUUUAUAUUAUGAAAUCAACAUGAGAUUCAUUAAUUCCGAUAGUUGCUAGUAAUUUUACAGGAAUCGAAUUCCGAUUCCCUACAAUCGAAUGACUCGAUCUAUUUAUGAUCCGAUACGGAUUUGAAUCUUCGAUUUGCCCAUUUCAAAAUAAACUGCUCAAAACUAUUAUUCAUAGACACCUCUUCCUACUCUCCCUUCAUCACUCCCCUCCUACUUAAUCAAAAUCCACUUUCAAAAUUCUAUAUGUUCCAAUUGUACAUCCAUUCCGAUAAUAAAUCAAAUAUUCUUCGAUUAUUUUUCACAAAUUAUUUUUUUUUUUCACUCUAAUACAAUCAGAUUUUAUUUCUCAUUUCUAUUUCAAUCACGACUCAAGCAUACUUUAUUCUAACCCAUCUCACUCUCAAUAAAUUAAUUAUAUAUGAAUUUUUUUUAAAGAAAUGCUUUUUUAAAAAAAUAAAUAGUCAACAGUUUUGAACUUGAAAGCAUACUCAAGUCAAACUACUCAAAUAUUGACAACCUAGCUACUAACUGUAUUGUGUUUCAAAAGGUGACAUACUUGUUGUUAACUUGUAUGAAGAUUUUUUCAUACAGUUAAGAUCUAAAAAAUACACUAAAAUUUUUUUAUAGUGUAUUUUAAUAAAAAAUUAUUUUUAUUGUGUAUCUCACUUCAUAUAAAUUUCUACCUGGACAAAUUAUAAUUUUGAGUUAGCUAUAAAAAUGGUAGUAAAUUGAAGAGUUGAGAAACACGAUUAGAAUACGGUGUAUUUAAUUUGGGACAAAAAUUUUAUGGGCACCGUGCCCAAACAAUUUGUUUGGACACGGUGCCCAGAUGUGUAGCGGCGCCCAUCCGCACCUUCAAAAAAAAAAAAAAUAGUGGGCUCGGUUUUUAGGAAUAUAGAGAAAGAGAGGGGGAAGGGAGGGUGCAGAUGGGCGCCGCUGUCCCCAUCCAGGCACCAUGUCCAAACAAAUUAUUUGGGCACGGUGCCCAUUAAAUUUUUGUCCUCUAAUUUGUUUGUGCAACUUUUAUUAUGGAGAAAUUGUUAUUAAAGCAACUUUAAUGUUUAGUCCAUAGCAGCAUUAUGCUCUCAUUGUUGUCUUGUGCGUCGUAAAACUAAGUGCGCAUUUGGUCGCGAGGUUCGUAAUGUUGUUGGGUCAAAACUGAGUUGAGUUAGCUACACAAAGUACACUAUGUAUUAUCUCUUUAUAAGGUUUCGUUUGAGAUUACAGGAAGAUUGCAUUACGUGCGGUGGAAAAAAGAGACAAGAAAAAUUAUGUUUGUUUUCAUUAGUAAUAUUAUGUUUCGCAUAUUGCGAUUAAUCAGUGACGAUAUAUUUUGUUGUCCCUAAAUAGCGAUAAAUAGGCUUUAACACCUAAGUCUAAACUAGAAAGAGAAAUUUUAUUUUAUCUAAGAAGUUGGAUGCGCAAACCUUAUUUUUUUUAUUUUAUAUAUACAAAUACACAGGUGAGAAUUUGAGAUUGGAGGCUCGUAGCUGUUUCGUACAUCGCGCGAAAGCAGCGGAUCAGGAACGCACUCGGAUUCGAAUCAGACAUUGUGGGUCCCACUCGGGCCCGUCCGUACGAUAACUGGGGCCACGUGGCAGGAGGCAAGUGGCGGUGGUGGUGACGGGGAUCUCUGUGACCUAGAUCCGCGCUGGGACCCACGUACCGAGAUGGACCAUCCAACUGGAGGGCGACACCUAAGCACUCUCGGAUGACGAUUGGAUCGCGUCGGAAAUUGUGGGGCGCAUCCACCGAGGCAACGGGGGUCGAUGGAGAUAGUGGGACUGGGAAUUGAAUGGGUGUUAAUCACGGUCCCCAAACAAUUUAAAAAAAAAAAAAAAAAACAUGAAAAGAAGAAACAACACUUAUAAGUGGGAAUGUACGGAGACCCCUCUGCUAUACGUAAUUUACAAAUAGACCCCUCUACUUUUAAUUUUGGUAGAAGCCUAUGAAUCUUACCUGAACUAUGGCUAAUUUGAUUCCACUGCUCAAUCUUUUAAUUUUUAAAUUUAUUUAAUUUGAAUCAGUAAACGGAAUAUUAAUUGCAAAAUCCAAGUUAAUUAUUUAUUUAAAAUAUAUUAAUUAAAUCGGUAGAAAUAAAUAAUAUAUUUUAAUUUUUAAAGUAAAAGUAGCAAUAACAAAAUUGAAAAAUUAUAUAGUAAAAUAAAAUCUUGAAAGAUUGGAUAACAUUACAAUAAAAACGGUCUAUAGCGACAGUUUUAAAUGUCGGUACAGAUCAAAAAAAGUAUUGCUGGCUAAAUUACCGAUAUUUUUAAAAACUGUUGUUAUAUGUGGGGUCGCUAGGUAUAUAGUGACAGUUAAAAAGUGUCGCUAUAACCUAAAAAGAGUGCUGCUAACUUAUCAAUACUUAUUUAAGUAUUUAGCAACUGCUGGAAUUCUACCUCGUUGGCUGCGGUAGCGGAGGAGGACGAGAGGAAGGGAUCUUCGUCUAAAACUUCAAUCGAUUGAGUGAGGUGAGAAGGGGAAAUGGUAAUCGAUUUUUCUUUUUUUUUUCUUUUCUGUUUGUAAUCGGGCCGAAUGGGUUGGGUGGGGUGAGUUAAGUAGAGUAACCUUUUAUUUUUGGUUGGAUUGGACUUUAUAUUUGAGCAUUAGUAGAUUUUUUAAAAAAUUUUGGCAUAAAUGGGACACUUACACAAAAGUGUCCCAAACAUGUGUCCCUAUAACCUAAUUCUGUUGUAGAGUAAAUAAAUCAAAAUCAUCUAAAAUCCAGGUAAGAUUCAUACAUUUUUAUCUUUAUUUUUAAACUAAGAAACUAAGAACCUUCCAACUGCUAAUUAGGCUAUUUUCGCUGGUUAUUGAAUUGAGGGCGAAAUUCUACUAGGCCAUCAAAUUCUAAUUUCUUAUUAUUAAAAAUAUUUAAAUUUAAAUUAGUUUUCUCCCGCCAUUUGUAUCAUCUUUUACAGCUGAUCACGCAAGUCAGAGAUUCGAUAGCCGCAUGUGAUGACGCAGAAGUAGAAAUUCAUACGGCGAACUUCCAAAUUUUGAUUCGAUUGUAAAUAUAGUAUGCGCAUUUGGUGGACGGAAUAAGAGACUAUAAAUAAAAACUAAAAGGAAAAUCAAGAUAAAAAAAUUAUAUAAAAAUAGCUUUUCAAGAGAUUUUUUUUUUUUCAAAAUAAUGCAUUUUCUUACAAUUACUACCGGGAGAACUCGGAAAUAUUAUUUUAACUAGUGUAAGGCACACUCAAUACACAAUUUACAUUGUAAAAAUAUAAUUUACAAAGAAUAUUAAUUUGGUCAUUAUUUCACAUCGAAAAAUUUAUAUUUUCAAAGACUAAUUUUAUUUUACGAAAAAUAUUGACACAAACUCUCCUCUGAAAAAUUCUUUAUCAACAAAUAAUUUGUACUAUCCCUGGUAUUCUGUAGCUGUGAGAUUUCAGCAUCUGAGACUUGUCGACAUAUCUGGAGAGUGUUGGAACAAGUCCAAGUCAGGUUGGCGCGAAAUAGACGCAAAUCGGACUUAGUGUGACGCGAGAGUAGGAAUUUAGCAUUGAAAUCUGUAAAUUGCAGAUUUUCAGCAUUUAGUAACGGUACCACACAGGGGAGUACCGAUAGCCCUAUAUAGAUUUUCCGACUGCUGCUUUCGAGUUGCACAUUCUACUACGGGGUAUCGGUACGGCAUCAACCUGAUAUCGGUACUCCAGAGUAGGUGAGGGCCUUUUAGCCAUUUGAUGUUUCAUUCAAACCAAUACUUCCUCAGCCUUCUUAUACGUAUAGAGAGCGUGGAGAAGGAGUUUUGGCUUGCUGUUCUCUUUCUCCCACUGGUUUUUGAUCGCGCUCGAGGUGGUAGUCGCGAUUGAAGCUCGGAUCGACACCGACGUCGCGCCGGGGAGCCGUUCGAGCCCGUGGACGUCGUAGUUGCAUCAUUGGGUGGCUGGGCGAGCGCGUGAUUCCACUUCAUUCGACUUUCCGGACUGUCGGGUACCAUUGUGGUUGACGGUGGACCGAGAUUGCUAUUUUUGCAUCUGUUUGUGCCGAGGGCACGUUGAUUAUGGUUAUUUGACCAGUUAGACCCUUCUGUUUUGAUUAUAACCUAUGAGAGCCUGAUUGAGCUCGACAGAGACACGCUUGCAUACUCGGUUGGGUAGCACUCACGAGUGCCACUUCGAAGUCGGAGCUAGUGCCACAGGGUAGCAAAGUGAGAAUGCACGAAACCACAGGGGGUUUUUUUGAAGUUUUCCCAAAAAACUAAUAGCACUAAUAAUUUAGUGCUAUUGAUUGUAUUCCAGCCUAGUUCUAUAUAUAUAUAUAUAUAUAUAUAUAUAUAUAUAUAUAUAUAUAUAUAUAUAUAUAUAUAUAUAUAGGCCAAUUUGCAUAAAAAAUCACUUAUUUUGGGCUUUUGGAAAACUGGGCUACCUUUUUCGUUCUUGCAGAUUCGGUCUACUUUUUCAGCAAACUGACCAAAAUACUCUUAUAUCUUUUUCUCUCUCCUCUUUUUUUUCUCUCGUUCUUUUUUUCUUUCUCUUCCCAGAGAGCAGCGGAGACUGAGCGGAGGCGGCCAAUUUUGUUCGGCACAUCCUUACCCUUGCCCGCACACUACCCACCUUCUCGCAUCCGACCCCGCCGAGGCCGCGACGCGACUCUUUUUUUUUUCUCUCCGAUUCUCCUCCACCGUCUCCGACGAUGACGCCUCUCUCGUCCUUUCCCGUCCUUCUCAUCCUCUCCCUCUCCCUCCUCCUCUAUCGCCUCCGACGACGACACAUUUUCGCCAGCGCCGACGCUGACACCGUGGAGGUUUUUGCGGCGGUGCAGCCUCGGAGCGGGAAGUCCUUACCGGCGUUGUCGCCGGCGCCGUGGCCGUUGGCAGAGGGAUGACAAAAAAAAAUUAUAGAAGAAAUAAGAAAAAAAAAAUAAAGAUAAAAAAUUAUAGACAAAGAAGGAUGAAGAUGAAAUUGUAUCGUUAACUGUAAAAAAAAUUAUAAGUUGCAUUCUUAAGAUGUAAACUGCAGCCUUAAAAUAAAAAUUACUCUUUAAACGAAAAUUACACUAUUUGAAAACUAUUUACACUGUUUCUCCUCUUAAUGCACUCUUUCAGAUGUAAACUGCAUCCAUUAAAAUAAAAUUUACACUCUUUAAACGAAAGUUGCACACUUUGAGAUAUAUUUACACUGUUUCUACUCUUAUUGCACUCUUUGAGAUGUAAGCUGCAACUCUUCAAGAGGUAUUUAUACUGUUUCUCCUCUUGUUGCACUGUUUCUCCUCUUGUUGCACUAUUUUUCCUCUCGUUAUAGUGUUUUUAUCUUAAACUACAAACCUUCAAGAGAUAUUUAUACUGUUUUUCCUCUUAUUGCAAUAUUUUUUCUCUUGUUGCACUAUUUCUCCUCUCGUUACACUAUUUUUAUUUUAAAACUGCACCCUUUAAGAGGAGAAAAAGUGUAACAAGAGGAGAAGUAGUGCAACAAGAGAAUAAACAGUAUAAAUAUCUCUUAAAGGGGUGCAGUUUACGUAUCAAAGAGCGCAAGAAGAGAAGAAAUAGUGCAAAUAUCUCUCAAAGCGUGCAACUUUCGUUUAAAGAGUAUAACUUUCAUCUUAAUGGAUGCAGUUUACAUCUGAAAGAGUGCAAUAAGAGGAGAAACAAUGUAAAUAUCUUUCAAAGAGUGUAAUUUUCGUUUAAAGAGUGUAAUUUUUAUUUUAAAGCUGCAGUUUACAUCUUAAGAAUGCAACUUAUAAUUUUUUUUACAGUUAACGAUACAAUUUCAUCUUCAUCAUUCUUUUCUAUAAUUUUUUAUCUUUAUUUUUUUUUUCUUACUUCUUUAUAAUUUUUUUUUGUCAUCCCUCUGCCAACGGCCACGGCGCCGGCGACAACGCGGCUAAGAACCCCCCGCUCCGAGGCUGCACCGCCGCAGUGACCUCCACGGUGUCUGCGUCGGCGUCGGCGUCGGCGAUGACGAAGAUGCGUCGUCGUCGGAGGCGGCAGAAGAGGAGGGUGAGGGAGAGGAUGAGAAGGACAGGGAAGGACCAGAGAAGCGUCAUCGUCGGAGACGGUAGAGGAGAGUCGGAGAGAGAAAAAAAAAAGAGUCGCGGCGCGGCCUCGGCGGGGUCCGAUGCGAGGAAGGUGGGGGCUGUGCGGGCGAAGGUAAGGAUGUGUCGGAGAAAACCAAAGCAGGCCGCCUUCGCCUCAACCUCCGCCUCCGGCUCUAUCUCUGCCGUGCUCUGGGAAGAGAAAGAAAAAAAAAGAACGAGAGAAAAAAAGAGGAGAGAGAAAAAUGUAUAAGAAUAUUUUGAUCAAUUUGCUAAAAAAGUGGACCGAAUCUGAAAAAAUGAAAAAUGUGGCCCGAUUUUUUCAAAGCCCAAAAUAAGUGAAUUUUUUAUGCAAAUUACCAUAUAUAUAAUAUGUAUAUAUAUAUAUAUAUAUAUAUAUAUAUAUAUAUAUAUAUAUAUAUAUAUAUAUAUAUAUAUAUAUUAUAUAAUAAUAUAUAGUCCAGAUUACUAUGCUUCGGUAGUACAGAGGGCUCCGUCAUCCAAGUUGUCUUUUCGAUGAUGCAAUUCCAAAUUGACGAUCGCUCCAUUAGAUUGAUCAUACACUAUGUGAAAGUAUUUGGAAACUAAAUUUUCAAUUCUUUUUCACGACUACAUUAUAUGUGAUCAAAAGGAUCUCAAAUUGACAAUUUAAUGGCCGAAUAUGGUGUGUUUGUGGUUUAACUGUAAUAACAUCCAAAAUGCGAUGAAAACUUAUAUAGAAAUAUUUUUCACUAUUUAGAAGAAGCAUCAGUUAAUCUGAUCUUAAAUUUUAAAUGUUUUAUCAUCAUUUUUUUAUGAGAUUUUAUUCAGCCGUUCAAUUUUUAGACUACGUUGUUUGAUAGGUAAAUGAUAUAAAAAUAUGAAAUUUUAGGUUUCUAAAUAUCUUUUUAAUAGCCGUAGAUCAAGUCUAACGAGAAAGAAAAAACAAAUCGAUCGUCAAAUUUGGAAGCCGUAUCAUUAAAAACUACUUGGUAGCAUGAGGCCCUCCGGUACCGAUAGCAUAGUUAACCUAGUUCUCUCUCUUCUCUCUCUUUAUAUAUAUAUAUUAUAUAUAUAUAUAUAUAUAUAUAUAAAUAUAUUAUAUAUAUUAUAUAUAUAUAUUAAUAUUUGGUCCGAGCUACUAAUCCUAUUAAUACGAAUGGACCCUUGUCCGAUCAAGUCGUAUUUGAAUGAUCGAAACUUUCAAAUGAUAAUCGGCACCGUUGAAGUGAACUACAAAAUUAGAAAUUUCAGAAACCAAUUUUGUAUAUUUAAAAAUAUUGAUCAAGUUCAUCUUAGAGUUGAACAAUGAAUGGUCUAAAAUGAAUAACCUUCUUAAUAAUAGAGGUAGACUUUCUUAGUUCGUUAAUCCAGAGUUAUCAAACAUUUUACGAUAUUAUAAAAGAAUUUUCUAUCAAAAAUCCAAGCCAAUUUGGAUUGCCUCCACACCGUUAAAACAAGUCAAACAGCUCAUAUAGCCGCAAAAUUAGUCGAUUUUACGACACUUUGAAUCACCAUGUAAACCAUUAUCAAAAUUUAUAAAUUUAGUUCUAGAUUAUUUCAACUCUCUAAAUCAAUUUUAUGGCUCUGAUCAUAUAUCGGAAUCAUCGAAUCUAAGAACAACUUGAUAGGACAAGGCAUCCUAUCCUAUUAAUGGGAUAGAGCUAAUAUAUAUAAAAUUAUUAAAGCUAUAUAUAUAUAUAAUAUAUAAAUUGAUAUAUAUAUAUAUAAUAGUAAGAGCUAGAAUACUUUAAAAGCAGCUAUGAAUUUUGUGAAUCUUUUGAGUUUUGAGCCAUUGGAUGGAGAGAUGUGAGGUUGAGAUGAUAGUGGUAGGUGGUGGUAGGCGGUGGUAGGUGGAAUAGCGUUUGAUCCAAGGGCUAUUAGUAAUCAAGGAGUAGAUCCAAGGAAUAAAAACCUAAUAGCACCAAGGGGAUGAUACUUGUAAAAGUUCAAAUAACAUAAGUGUAAUAACAUAAGUGUAAUAAUGAACAGUAUUACACUCUUUUUAAACCGUUGAUCUAAAUAUAAUCCAAGGAUCGAGGUAAAGCAAUGGCAACUUUUUUAUUUCUAUGUCAAAAUACUCUUCCCUACUCCAUAGGAUGUGACACCACUUUAAGGUUUGUUACUCUAACUAUUUACAUUAAUUUUAUGUGCACUUAAAACAUUCAUUUUUUUUUAAGUGUGAAAGCAUAUAAUAAAGUUUAAUAGUAAAAUAUAUUAUAAAGGGGUUAUUGCUAUAAUUGGCCCUUGAAUUUUACUCUGUUAAAAAUUUCUUAAAAAUUUUAUUUAUUUUAAUGUGAAUUGUUGCAGUCAAUUAAAUUUUAAAUUUUUUAUAAAAUUAAAUUUUAGUGUAUUAAAAUCAAUUGCAACCAUCCAAAAGCAUGGAAAGAAAUAAAAUGUUGAUAAUUUUUUAUCUAAAUAUUGUCAGUUUUUAUAUAAAUUAUUUUGCUAUAAUAAUUUUGCUUAUAUUAAAAAUUAUCAACCAAAGUCUUCUUAGUUAGUAGAUGAAAACUGAUUAUAUAGUGGGUUUACAAUGGAGGAGAAAAAAAAAAGGGAGUGAAAUUCAAGACUACUGCAGUGAUGUCAAAUUCUAUGAAGUAGGGAAGAGUAUUUUAGCAAAGAAACAAAAAGUUGUCUAUUGUUUCAUCUCAAUCCUUGGAUUGUACUUAGAUCUACGGUUCAAAAAAAAUAUAAUACUGUUCAUUAUUAUACUUAUAUUAUUAUUUGAACUUGACUAAUAUAUAUGUAUAUAUAUAUAGAGUUGAGUUAUGAUACUUUUACCAGUAUCACCAUCAUGGUGCUAUUAGGUUUUAAGCCAUUGGAUCUACUUUUUGAUUAUUAAUAGCCCUUGAAUUAAACACUAUUCCACCUACCACCACCUACCACCAUCAUCUCAACCUCACAUCUCUCCAUUCAAGGGCUAAAAAGAUACAAGUAUCACCCCCAUGAUACUUUUACAAGUAUUCUAGCCCUACUAUAU
rnacentral:lncRNA from 1 species